GAUGAACGCUAGCUACAGGCUUAACACAUGCAAGUCGAGGGGAAACGACAUCGAAAGCUUGCUUUUGAUGGGCGUCGACCGGCGCACGGGUGAGUAACGCGUAUCCAACCUGCCCAUCACUUGGGAAUAACCUUGCGAAAGUAAGACUAAUACCCAAUGAUAUCCCACGAAGGCAUCGGAAUGGGAUUAAAGAUUUAUCGGUGAUGGAUGGGGAUGCGUCUGAUUAGCUUGUUGGCGGGGUAACGGCCCACCAAGGCAACGAUCAGUAGGGGUUCUGAGAGGAAGGUCCCCCACAUUGGAACUGAGACACGGUCCAAACUCCUACGGGAGGCAGCAGUGAGGAAUAUUGGUCAAUGGGCGAGAGCCUGAACCAGCCAAGUAGCGUGCAGGAAGACGGCCCUAUGGGUUGUAAACUGCUUUUAUAAGGGAAUAAAGUGGGUCACGUGUGACUUUUUGCAUGUACCUUAUGAAUAAGGGCCGGCUAAUUCCGUG
rnacentral:rRNA from 1 species